rnacentral:rRNA from 1 species
UACGUAGGGUGCAAGCGUUGUCCGGAAUUAUUGGGCGUAAAGAGCUCGUAGGCGGUCUGUUGCGUUGGCUGUGAAAACCCGAGGCUCAACCUCGGGCCUGCAGCCGAUACGGGCAGACUAGAGUUCGGCAGGGGAGACUGGAAUUCCUGGUGUAGCGGUGAAAUGCGUAGAGAUCGGCAGGAACACCCAGGGGGAAACCAGUCGACUGGGCAUCUACUGACGCUGAGGUGCGAGAGCGUGGGGAGCGAACCGG